UGGGGAAUCUUGCACAAUGGGGGCAACCCUGGUGCAGCGACGCCGCGUGAACGAUGAAGCCCUUCGGGGUGUAAAGUUCUUUCGGCAGGGAAGAAACAUGACGGUACCUGCAGAAGCAGCUGCGGCUAACUACGUGCCAGCAGCCGCGGUAAUACGUAGGCAGCGAGCGUUGUUCGGAGUUACUGGGCGUAAAGGGUGUGUAGGCGGCUCUCCAAGUUUGGUGUGAAAUCUCCCGGCUCAACCGGGAGGGUGCGCGGAAUACUGACGGGCUAGAGUGCGGGAUGGGAGAGUAGAAUUCCUGGUGUAGCGGUGAAAUGCGUAGAUAUCAGGAGGAACACCGGUGGUGUAGACGGCUCUCUGGACCGUAACUGACGCUGAGACACGAAAGCGUGGGUAGCAAACAGGAUUAGAUACCCUGGUAGUCCACGCCCUAAACGAUGCAUAUUUGGUGUAGGUCAUUCAGUUGAUCUGUGCCGGAGCUAACGCGUUAAAUAUGCCGCCUGGGGAGUACAGUCGCAAGGCUG
rnacentral:rRNA from 1 species